UACUUAGAAAUUGCAGAAUAGAGAUGUUUUAAAAAAAUUAUCCGGAAAAUAUUUAAAAAACGAAAAAAAAAGUAAGAAUAAUAAUUAUUAUAAGUGAAACUGUAAAUCUAGUGUUAUGGAAUUGUGUGCAGAAGAAAAAGAAAGUGAAGUGUUGAAUAGUGAUGAAGGGUGGGUCCAGAGAUUUAACGAAAGUAAUAAUUUGGUGGAGGAGAUAACGAAAUGAGAAAGAAAGAGGGAGGAAACAUAUGCAUUUGUUAUGUUUAUUUUCAACAAAAUCUCAACAGAAGGAGUUAAAUAUCAUAUGUUUCCCUUUCACGUUCAGUAAUGGUAUCAGACAAAUGCAGUGUCCAAUUUAUGCAACUUCCAACUAGCGGUGCAGAAACAAUACACAAAACUCUUCAAUCUCUAAUAAUUCAUCAAAUCAAAUCAAAUCACCCUCUGUCUUCUUUCAAUCUUCUCGAUUCUCUUUCUGCCACAACAACAUCUGCAUGUGCAUGUCAACACUAUAUUUAAUGUGCCAUGUUUCUCACUAUUUCUUUUUAAGAUUACUUUACUUCUAAUAAAAUGUAUAUAAUUGGCGUAUUAUUAAGCACAUAUAUAAUUGGUGCUUAAAAGAUUAUCAUAAAAUGUAUUUUUGCAUCAUGAAAAUAUUUAAUCUAUGUAAUUCAAUUUAAUAACUAACCUAAAUAUUCUGCCUUUUUUAGUUGGUUCCUUGGCGUUUUAUAUGAAGUUUAAUAAUUGUGGUAAAGAAAAAGUGCUCAAUAAAUGAAGGCAGGUUUUGUAGCCACUAAAAAACCAGAGAGAAAAGAAGACGUUACGCUUAUAAAAAAGCUUACAUAACUUUAUCAAAUGAAAAGGUGACAGACAGACUAGUUAUUAAAAUAUCGUUUGUAUCUCACCAAACACGUACUUGAAUUUAUUUGGAGUAUGGUUCAUCUCCCUGUUUCUUUGUUUCGAAAUUCAACAUUCUUGAAUUUAUCAUCACCGAUGCUAUUGCAUAAUGUUACUAUAUAGUCCGAUCGGGUGCGAUUGCAUGUUAGGUUGUAAAAACGAAUUUCGCAGUCGUUCCCUCAUGACACCACUUAAACAAAAUUAAAACAUAAUUAAUACAAUAAUUGUUAUUGAUGAAUGGUUAAUGUUAAUAUUAAUCAUCAUUAAGAGAAAAAUUAAUUGAUCAGAUAUUUUUAAACUCUAUAAAUAAAAGUUUAAUCUUGAGAUAAACUCACUAUUUUCAUAAUUGAAUUAUUUUAAACGAGAAAUAUUCUGACUUGAACGAUAUCUUCUGCAGGUCACUCUCCAUAAACUGAUCAGUUAUCUAGAACUGAGAGAGUAACAUACAUUCGUCCAGACAGAAGUUUUGAGGAUUAUUGGUUUUCUGUUAUUGUCUAAAGGACAGUUACGUGGUGAUCGGUUUGUGUGUUUUUUCCUUUUCCCGUUCCCCCCUCCCCCUUCAAACUCUAUAUAUACAUAUAUUUGUUCUUCUUUUUAGAAUAGAAUAGAGAGAUAUUGUACAUGUAUGAGAUUCAUUCAGAAAUAAUAAAGUUUACGUUUUCCUUACCGAUUUCCUUGCGCUAACCAACUUUGUCUUCUUCGUCGUCGGCCACCGCUGCCUCCGCCGAAAGUUCUCGCCAUCGCAAUCCUCGGAGACUUCUCGAUACUCCGUUCUCUCUCCUCUCACACGGGAUCUUUUCUCGUCUGAAGGAUGCUUCUGCUUUACCCAAACUCUUUUAACGCUUCUUGGGCUGAAGACAAUUGGGCCACCAACAUUAAUGCACAGUGUUGGGCUGCGUCGAAUAUGGUAUCAGAGCAGGUCCAGUGCCUGCUCUGCUUCCGUUGGUCGCUGCUAUUUUCUUGAAAAUCUUCUUGGACUGCUUUUCUGGACUUCUUCAUGGAACAGACGGACCAGUCAUCCAACCCAGUUAGCCCCUUAUAUCUACACCCAGGUGAAAAUCCAGGACUCACCUUGAUCACUCAAGUUUUGAAUGACAACAAAUAUUCCUCAUGGAGCAGGAGCAUGCGACGUGCCUUGCUUUCCAAGAAUAAGGUAAAAUUCAUUGAUGGUACGAUAAAGAAACCGCAAAGAACGAAUGUUUUGUUUGAUGCCUAGGAGAGGUGCAACAUGAUGAUCUUAUCUUGGAUAACAAAAACACUCUCCCCUGAGAUAGCUGAAAGCGUCAUAUACGUGGAAGAGGCAAAAGAAUUAUGGGAUGAGCUGAAAGAACGUUUUUCAAAGGGGGAUUAUUUCAAGAUAUCUGAUUUACUUCAGGAUAUACACUCCAUCAAACAAGGAGAGAAAGGAGUUAGCCAGUUUUUCACUGACCUAAAGAUUCUAUGGGAAGAAUUAGAGUCCUUAAGACCCAUACCCAUAUGCAUGUGCCCAACUCCUUGCAACUGUGAUAUCUCCAGAUGUUCUUUGAAAUACAGGGAAGUUGAACAUGUGAUAUGUUUUCUCAAAGGACUAAAUGAUUCUUACAACACUGUCAGGACGUAGAUCCUGUUGAUGGACCCUCUUCCCAACAUUAACCGUGUCUUCUCUCUUAUUAUGCAACAAGAGAGACAAGAAAAGCAAGUUUCUGCAGAAAUUAAGAUUUUGGCUAAUGUUGCUGACAGAAGCAGCUCCUGGAAGCCUGAUUAGAAUUGGAAAAAUCAAGGAAGAGGUCCUGGAUUACGUGGACAAGGAAGAGGUAGAGGCAGAAAUCCUAACUAUGGAAAGCAAUGUUCAUUUUGCAACAAAAUGAAUCACACAGUGGAUGAAUGAUAUUUUAAGCAUGGUUAUCCUCCUUGGUACAAAAAGGGAGAGAAUAAUUCUGAGAAAAGAAAUGAUUAAAGUUCUGCUAAUGUUUGCUCGAAUAACAAUGGGACUAAAGGGGUUCAAAACAUUCAGCAGACCAAUAAUGGUAACAUUCUAAAUUCCCUUACAACUGAACAGAUGUAGAAAUUACUCAAAAUGAUAGAUAAAAGUGAUGAAUCUACCCAUAAGAUUAAUCAAGUCCAGAGAAACAAUGCUGAAAAUGAAAAAGGUAAUCUCUCCUGGAUUAUAGAUACUGGUGCCACUGAUCACGUCACAGAUGAUAAAAUGAAUUAUAUUACCUUUUAUAAGAUCAAACCUAUUCCUAUCAGAUUACCUAACAACACCAUAAUUACUGCUGAAUACACUGGGAUUGUGCAAUUCACAAAAAAGUUUAUCAUUUUUAAUGUUCUGUACAUUCCUGACUUCUAUUUCAAUCUGAUUUCUGUCCAAAAUCUUAUUAAGGACUUGAAUUGUAGCCUAAUUUUUUCUUCUAAGACUUGCCAGAUAAGGGAGAACAAUACUUUGAAGAUGAUUGGAUGUGCUAACUCUUGGGGAGGCCUCUAUUAUCUACAAGCUUUUCCGAAAUCUAAUUCAAGAUGUAUUACAAAAUCUGUUUUUUCUUUUAAGAGUGUUGAUAUUAAUCUGUGGCAUGUUAGGUUAGGCUAUCCAGGACAAAAGGUUGUAAAACAGAUAUGUGAGAAGUUUCCUUAUAUCAAAAUGGGUGCUGAUAUUGUUUGUGACACUUGUCAUUAUGCUAAACAACACAUAUUACCCUUUACCAAAAGCAUUUCUGUUACUACUAAAUGUUUUGAUCUUAUACACUGUGAUAUAUGGGACCCUCUCAAAACUAUUUCUGUUCAUGGGCAUAGGUAUUUUCUUACUAUAGUAGAUGACUAUAGCAGACAUACAUGGAUUUUUCUAAUGAACAAUAAAGGACAAGCUAAAGACUUAUUGCAAAACUUCGUUAUUAAGAUAAAAAAUCAAUUUAACAAAAUGAUUAAGACCAUUAGAUCUGAUAAUGGACCUGAAUUCAAUUGUAUGAAUUUUUACGAUUUACAUGGGAUUAUACAUCAAAAAAGCUACGUUGAGACACCUGAACAGAACUCAGUCGUUGAAAGAAAGCACCAACAUAUACUUAAUGUGGCCCGUAGCCUUCUUUUUCAAUCAAACAUACCUAAUGCUUAUUGGUCCUAUGUUGUGGGACAUGUUGUUUACCUAAUAAAUAGAUUACCCACUCCCAUUUUAAAUAACAAGACUCCUCAUGAUCUGUUGUAUAAUCUUCCUCCCACUUAUUUAGACCUAAGAUCCUUUGGAUGUUUGUGUUUUGCUUCUACUCUUGAGAACAACAGAGGUAAACUUGAUCCAAGAGCUAGGAAAGGUAUAUUUCUAGGAUAUAAACCUGGUAUGAAGGGUUAUAUUGUGCUUGACAUGAACACCAAAGAACUUUUUAUAAGCAGAAAUGUUGUCUUUCACGAAGACAUCUUCCCUUACCAAAAUCAGCAAGGAAAUACUGGAAAUAUUGACAGUGAAGAAGACAAGGACAACUCUCUCAACAAUCUCCUGGGAGACCAGUGUACCAUUAACAAUGACAUACACACUGAACCUAAUGUUGAAAAUGAAGAACAGAUAUAGUAGACCUCUGAUAAUAGAGAAAAUAGUUGCAGUACAGGUUAUAAUCAGGAGGUUCGUGAGCAAAGAAGAUCCGAAAGACCUAGAAAGACACCUGAAUAUCUCAAAGACUAUGUUCACCAGGUCAAUCAAUCCUUAACUAUGAAAAACAAAUUUAAGACUCCUUAUCCGAUUUCUAAUUUAUUAUGUUGUGAUAAUUUGACAGAGAAACACUUAAGAUAUACCUUGGCUAUCACUGGAAACAAGGAACCUCAAUCUUAUAAUGAAGCUAAGGGAAUGACUGAAUGGGUGGAAGCCAUGGAAAGAGAAAUUAAAGCUUUACAGGAUAACAAGACUUGGGAUUUAGUGCAACUACCUUCAGGAAAAACCCCCAUAGGGUGUAAAUGGGUGUAUAAGACCAAGUAUAAAGCAGACGGUAGCAUUGAAAGGCUUAAGGCUCGAUUGGUGGCAAAGGGAUACACCCAACAGGAAGGAAUUGAUUAUCUGGAUGCUUUUUCCCCUGUGGCCAAGUUAACUACUGUCAGAUUACUCAUAGCUCUAGCUGCCUCACACAAUUGGUUUCUACAUCAACUUGAUGUAGAUAAUGCGUUUUUACAUGGAGAUCUCAAUGAAGAGGUCUAUAUGGAACCACCCCCAGGUUUGAACAUCCAAAAAGGACAGGUUUGCAAGUUAACUAAAUCUUUAUAUGGCCUAAAACAAGCCAGUAGGCAGUGGUUUGAAAAAUUGUCAACCUUUCUAAUAUCUGCCAAUUAUAUCCAAUCAAAAUCUGACCAUUCUCUAUUUAUAAGGAAAACACCUACGAGUUUUACUGCUUUGCUUGUGUAUGUGGAUGAUAUUGUUUUAGCAGAGAACUCUAUGAUGGAAAUCAAUCGCAUAAAGGAAUUACUACAUAAGAAAUUUCACAUAAAGAAUUUAGGGGAACUCAAGUACUUCCUUGGAUUGGAAGUGGCCAGAUCGAAAAAGGGCAUCCACUUAUCUCAGAGAAAGUAUGCUCUAGACAUACUUGAGGAAACUGGAAUGCUUGGGUGCAAGACGUCUACUACUCCUUUCCUAAGUGACACAAGCCCUCUGUAUAAAACAGACAACUACCUUGAUGAUCCUACUCUCUACAGAAAAUUGAUAGGGAAGUUGCUCUAUCUUACCAAUACUAGACCUGAUUUGUGUUUUACAAUUAAUUUGCUUAGUCAAUUCAUGCAAACUCCUACUAGUUACCAUUAUCGUGUUGUUCAACACAUUCUCAGGUACAUCAAAUCUGAGCCAUCCCAAGGAUUAUUCUUUGCUACAGAUUCUCCUAUGCAGCUGAAAGGUUUUAGCGACUCUGAUUGGGCCACAUGUCCCAACACUCGAAGAUCCACCACAGGCUUCUGUGUUUUUCUUGAAUUGUCUCUCAUUUUCUAGAAGUCUAAAAAGCAGAAGACGGUCUCCAGAUCAUCCACAGAAGCUGAAUACCGUGCACUUGUUGCCACUGUAUGUGAAAUACAGUGGCUUCGUUAUCUCCUACAAGACCUUCAGAUAGAAGAAUCCGGGACCCCUGUUUUGUACUGUGACAACAGGUCCGCGAGGCAUAUAGCUCAUAAUCAGAGCUUUCAUGAACGCACCAAGCACAUAGAGCUUGAUUGCCAUGUUGUUCGUGAAAAGAUACAAGAGGGUCUUCUUCAUCUCCUUCCCGUUUGAUCCAACGAGCAACUGGCAGAUGUCUUCACUAAAUUCCCUCACUGUGUCAGGUUCAGUACCAUUGUUCCCAAGCUUGGACUGGUGAGUAUACACCAUCCAGCUUGAGGGGAGGCUUUUGAGGAUUAUUGGUUUUCCGUUACUGUCUGAAGGACAGUUACGUGGUGAUCGGUGUGUGUGUUUUUCCCUUUUCCCGUUUCCCCCCCCCCUUCGAACUCUCAUAUACAUAUAGUUGUUCUUCUUUUUAGAAUAGAAUAGAGAGAUAUUGUACAUGUAUGAGAUUCAUUCAGAAAUAAUAAAGUUUACGUUUUCCUUACCGAUCUCCUUGCACUGACCAACUUUGUCUUCUUCGUCGCCGGCCACCGCUGCCUCCGCCGGAAGUUCUCGCCAUCGCAAUCCUCGGAGACUUCUCGAUGCUUCGUUCUCUCUCCUCUCAUGCGGGAUCUUUUCUCGUCUAAAUGAUGCUUCUGCUUUACCUAAACUCUUUUAACGCUUCUUGGACUGAAGACAAUUGGGCCACCAACAUUAAUGCACUGUGUUGGGCUGCGUCGAAUAAGAAGAGUUAAACUGAGUAAUCCUCGUCCC
rnacentral:lncRNA from 1 species